rnacentral:lncRNA from 1 species
CCUUUUGCUUAUUUCUAAGUAGGGAGCAUUAUUGAAUAAAUUUGGUUUUGGAAUCUAAAGUUGGGGAGAGUAAAGUGAAAAGUUGAUUAGAAACUUGGAAAAGUGAGUUUUUAUGAAAGGGUGAAAAUAUGAAAAGAAACAAGAAAAAGGAAUCACCCUUGAAACCAUAGAGCAAAGAAAAAAAAAGAAAAGAAAGAAAAAAGCAAAGAAAAUGCUCAUGGUUGUGUGGAUGUAAAAAAAAAAAUAGGGAUCAAAGAAAGGGAAAUUGUGUAGAGUUGAAUGUUUGAGAAUGCUCCCUUAGGAUAGGCAACUUUGUAAAUUCUCUUAAUCAUGUCCUUUCUUGUAACCUAAGCCACAUUACAACCUUUGAAAGACCUCUUGAUUCUCAUUUUUCACAUGAUUUGGUAUUUGUUGUG